rnacentral:lncRNA from 1 species
UCCUCACACCGGCCGUCAACGUGUGCCUAUUUGUGAUCUCCACAGUAGAGGUUAGAGCAUUCUUACUUGUAUUAGACAGUCCUAAUUAAAAGAUACUUGGAAUAUACUACAGAGCCAAACAGUGCUAUGUGAAAAAAAAGACUGAAUAUGGAAAUUCAGGAGAAAUUUUCUACAGAAACUCCAGCUGACACUGGAGAUCUCACUGCAGAGUGAAAGAGUAAUACAGCAUCACAAAUGGGAAUUGCUGAAUUCUUGUGUGCAAAAAAGCUGAGGACUGUGAGGAAUCUCCUUGGCAGGCACUGCUCUUGCCCUGCUUUUGUGCGAGAGCCACCACAACGGGGCCACGAGGGAGGCAGCGCUGAGAGCUCGCUAUGACAAGUGGCUCCCGGAUCCCCGAGGGGAGCGGGGCGAUAAGCCUCAUCAGGCUCGGUGCCUCGCACAGCUUCUCCUCCAGUUAGCGCCCUCUCGGUACGAUUUCUGAGCAUUAACUGCCAGAAAAAUGCUUCUCAGACACCUGCCAAGUUCCCUCCUAACGUCGGCCUGCCCCGGGACGGCCGGGGGCUGAGGCAGAGGCCGCGCUGCCUCUCACCAGCCCCCGG